rnacentral:rRNA from 1 species
GAUCAUGGCUCAGGAUGAACGCUAGCUACAGGCUUAACACAUGCAAGUCGAGGGGCAGCAUGAACUUAGCUUGCUAAGUUUGAUGGCGACCGGCGCACGGGUGAGUAACACGUAUCUAACCUUCCGUUUACUCAGGGAUAGCCUUUCGAAAGAAAGAUUAAUACCUGAUAGUAUGGUGAGAUUGCAUGAUAACACCAUUAAAGAUUUAUUGGUAAACGAUGGGAUGCGUUCCUAUUAGG